GACGAACGCUGGCGGCGUGCUUAACACAUGCAAGUCGAACGGAAAGGCCCUGCUUUUGUGGGGUGCUCGAGUGGCGAACGGGUGAGUAACACGUGAGUAACCUGCCCUUGACUUUGGGAUAACUUCAGGAAACUGGGGCUAAUACCGGAUAGGAGCUCCUGCUGCAUGGUGGGGGUUGGAACGUUUCGGCGGUUGGGGAUGGACUCGCGGCUUACCAGCUUGUUGGUGGGGUAGUGGCUUACCAAGGCUUUGACGGGUAGCCGGCCUGGGAGGGUGACCGGCCACAUUGGGACUGAGAUACGGCCCAGACUCCUACGGGAGGCAGCAGUGGGGAAUAUUGCACAAUGGGCGGAAGCCUGAUGCAGCAACGCCGCGUGCGGGAUGACGGCCUUCGGGUUGUAAACCGCUUUCGCCUGUGACGAAGCGGGAGUGACGGUAAUGAGUAAAGAAGCACCGGCUAACUACGUG
rnacentral:rRNA from 1 species